rnacentral:rRNA from 1 species
GAAAGCGUGGGGAGCAAACAGGAUUAGAUACCUGGUAGUCCACGCCGUAAACGAUGUCUACUUGGAGGUUGGUGUCUUGAACACUGGCUUUCGGAGCUAACGCGUUAAGUAGACCGCCUGGGGAGUACGGUCGCAAGAUUAAAACUCAAAUGAAUUGACGGGGGCCCGCACAAGCGGUGGAGCAUGUGGUUUAAUUCGAUGCAACGCGAAGAACCUUACCUACUCUUGACAUCCACGGAAUCCUGCAGAGAUGCGGGAGUGCCUUCGGGAACCGUGAGACAGGUGCUGCAUGGCUGUCGUCAGCUCGUGUUGUGAAAUGUUGGGUUAAGUCCCGCAACGAGCGCAACCCUUAUCCUUGUUUGCCAGCACUUCGGGUGGGAACUCCAGGGAGACUGCCGGUGAUAAACCGGAGGAAGGUGGGGACGACGUCAAGUCAUCAUGGCCCUUACGAGUAGGGCUACACACGUGCUACAAUGGCAUAUACAGAGGGCAGCAAGACCGCGAGGUGGAGCGAAUCCCACAAAGUAUGUCGUAGUCCGGAUUGGAGUUUGCAACUCGACUCCAUGAAGUCGGAAUCGCUAGUAAUCGUGGAUCAGAAUGCCACGGUGAAUACGUUCCCGGGCCUUGUACACACCGCCCGUCACACCAUGGGAGUGGGCUGCACCAGAAGUAGAUAGCUUAACCUUCGGGAGGGCGUUUACCACGGUGUGGUUCAUGACUGGGGUGAAGUCGUAACAAGGUAGCCCU